GUGAAUCAUCAAAUCUUUGAACGCAAAUUGCACUCUCCUCGGAGAGUAUGCCUGUUUGAGGGUCAGCCUAUAAAAAAUCGACAUAGUUGCUGUUUCGCGGUGGCGUUCGUCGGAAAUUGGGUCAUCUUACAUCCUUUGGGUUUUUAAGCGACUUAAAAUUUUCUUUUUGGUUCCAUGAACGUUUCUAAGAUUUAUUUCUUAACACGUUUAAGGCAUCGAUUUUU
rnacentral:misc_RNA from 1 species